UACGAAGGGGGCUAGCGUUGCUCGGAAUCACUGGGCGUAAAGCGCACGUAGGCGGCCUCUUAAGCCGGUGGUGAAAUCCUGGAGCUCAACUCCAGAACUGCCUUCGAUACUGGGAGUCUCGAGUCCGGGAGAGGUGAGUGGAACUGCGAGUGUAGAGGUGAAAUUCGUAGAUAUUCGCAAGAACACCAGUGGCGAAGGCGGCUCACUGGCCCGGUACUGACGCUGAGGUGCGAAAGCGUGGGGAGCAAACAGG
rnacentral:rRNA from 1 species